rnacentral:misc_RNA from 1 species
UUAAGUUCAGCGGGUAUUCCUACCUGAUCCGAGGUCAACAUUCAGAAGUUGGGGUUUUACGGCAUGGCCGCGCCGCGUUCCAGUUGCGAGGUGUUAGUUACUACGCAAUGGAGGCUGCAGCGAGACCGCCAAUGUAUUUCGGGGGCGGCGCCGCCAGAAGGCAGAGCCGAUCCCCAACACCAAACCCGGGGGCUUGAGGG